GACGCCUUUCCUAUUCCGCUUAACCCUUUCGUUUGGCCAAGUGUAUCUGCGAGUGCCUGUGUGUGUGUGUGUGUCUGUGUGCGAGUGUGUGCCAAUCCGUGAGAGUGUGUGUGUGUGAGCCAGGCUCAUUAUUGCGAGUCAUAAAAGGACGAUUGUCUCGUUUCUCAAUGAAUGUUUUGCUCAAUUAAGAUCUACCUGAGCUGGAGGAAAAGCGGGGAAUUUCCGCAUUACUUUUCCAUUUGUCAAUGCAGCAGUUUCUUUUCCUCUCACGUUUUUGUAGCCUGCAUCUAGGCGCAGAGACCUAGAAUAUUUCAAAUUAUCAAUGAAAUGCAAUGAAACAUUUCACUUGUGGUUGAAAUCACAGUUUUAUGAUCGCCCCAUUUCCGAGUUAUUAAAAUGACUAAUGAUCAUGUUAUAUAGAGCCGUUUGCCUUCACAAAAGCACUACUGAGUAAUAUUUUUAUCAUAUUCAAGAUUAUCUUCAAAUUGUUUGAAUAAUUGUUUACAAUAACCAUGGGCUAGAUAAGAUUGAGAGAUAAGCGAAACUGAAUCAGGAAAAAAUCUUUCGCUCCACAAAGGUAUUCAUAAUAUUUAACCUUUUUAACAUUGUUUGGCUUGCCACUCGGAUAUCUAUAUCCCAUCAUGAUGAUCAUUAAACAUCAAACACUUUCGGUGACUGAGCACAUAUGUACUCAAAUCCUUAUGUGCGCUUCUAAUAACCGUAAUGUGCUUAAAUAUUUAAUAUUUUUAUUGUAUUUCACAGGCAAUUCAAGUGGCUUUGGCUCAUUAAUGUUUGCCGUGUGGGCGUUGGGUUGCAUUUAUGUGACGCAUGCGCCGUGUGGCAAUGACUUUACAAAAUCAUAUACAUAUAUCCACCGGAGCAUUUGACCAACAUUUCUCAGAUAGAUGACGUCCGCAGCUGUAUCUGUUUCUAUAUCUAUAUCGGCGUGGUGGCAUAAUACGAAUAAUAUUUAUUUUUAUUGUUAUUAUUGGUUAUUGUUGAUUUAUUUGUUUGAACAAUAUUUUCACACAAAUUAAAAUACCCGACAACCAUCGGACAUCGGACGAUGGACAUCCAUAUCAAUGUCGUUUAAACGGUUUUCGUUGUUUUAUUUGCUUUGUAUUUUUUGGCUUAACCCAAUUAUCGGGGCUCAUUAGUGAUUAUUUAACCGUUUGCAACAGCAGCAACAGAUGAUCGCAAAGUUCUAAUAUGCAGCGCAAACAAUUCGAGAUCUUGCAGUGUUUCAUGAAGUUUACUUAACGAUUCUGCUUCGGAUAAUUAAAUGGAUAUACUGUAUUGAGAAUCUUGGGAGUGUAUGCAAAUUAAAGAAGGGGUUUUCUGUCAAUUUAAAAACAUAUAUAUUUUGUUUAUGUCACUCAAUACUAAAAAAAAAUGCAGAUUAUCCGGUUUACGCUGGCAUUUAAAUCUUGUUUCGGUUUUUUUCAACUAAUUUGCAUUAACUUUUCCAUGAAAUUCAUUAGAAAAGUGUUAGCUUGCAUUAUUGAACAGUUUUAAUGCGUUUUGUUUUCGUAGAUAUACUCUUGUUUUUUACUCUUGAUUUUGCUCUACAUAGACCAAACAGCAAAUUGUUUAAACAGCUAAGAUUAGAUAGAAAGUUUUAUUUUAGAUUUCAAUAUUCAAUUUAGAAUUGCCGCUUUUUAUGGAGCAUUUUGAGUGUGGGGUGUAUCUGCCAGGUAUUUUGCCAUGGCUCUGUGAAUCGGUAUGCGUAUCCGUAUCUGUAUCUGCGGCUGCGUGUGUAUCUUGUUCUUUGUACUGCGUGUGCCGUAAUGAGCGUAACCAUAAAAGCGUCUUUUGUUUUACGACCGCAUUGCGCGCGUGUUUACCAUAGAAAACAAUGCCAAUUUUAUGGCUGCCCCGGCCACGCAGACAAUGGCCCAAAGAACCGCAUCCCGACAGUCCAGCAUCCAGCGAGUAUGUAGGGUAUAUAGUUCCUUAUGUACCUGGGGCCAAAGGUGACGGCGAAACUAGAGCAAAUGGGUCGAAAGGGUGCUGGCGAGCGGGACGCUGCAUUAAUUAGAACGCUGCGGAUAUAUGUAUGGGUUUCAGGAUCGAAAUUACUUUCUUCGGGGCCAUAAAGCGGCUCUUAUCUAAAUUAGGAUGUUGCUUGUUUGCGGCUGUGUCUGCACAACAUCGCCGUUUUCACUAUUUGCGUAGGUGUUUCAUUUCCGUUUCACAAUUUAUCUGGCGAGUGUGUUUGCCGGCACACUCAGCCGCGCAGCGCACCUUUAGCCGCCUCAAGAUUUUCCUCUUUCCCUACUUUCACAUGUGAUUUUCCCUCGCGGCCUUAUCAGUUUUUGGCGCGUCAGCCGUCGUCAUCGUGAUUCACAUUUUUCCCUCCCUGCCCGCCGCUGUUUGCACUCGAAACAGUGACGGAAACCGAAAACUGCACUUUUCCAAGGGCCCCAGUACUCGGGGUUCGAAUCGGGCGAUGCAGUUUGGGAAUCGAGGGAAUUUGGCGCAUUUUGGGGUGCGUGCCUUAUCGCUGGGGAGCCCAUGGGGCUACGACUCUAGAUAUCGCAUAAAUCAGAGCCUAGUCGCGCUUUUGCUUGAUUAUUUCCAUUUUAUCUAUUUGGCUGCGGGUGGCUAUAAAGUUUCUGGUUUUUAUCUUUGUGCAAACACGGGAAAGCAGUGCUAUUAAGGCCCUGGCGACCUUAUUUCCACCGGCCCCCAAGAAAACAGCGAAUUCUAUUCUUUUAAUUAAGAAUCCGCAGAAGAGGUGAACCCCUCACAUGCAAUCCAAACAGCGGAAUUCCAUUUUAAUUUGUGGGGUAAAUAGAAAAUAUACGCCAUAUUUCAAAUUAUGUAAGCAUUUUUUCUAAACUAAAAUAGUAGCUAAUAAGUGCCACUGUUUGUCUUUAAUUAAUUUUACUAAGGCAUUCCCAAUUAUUUAUUUCUAAAUUCAAGUGAUCUUAUGUAACAUUUAACAUAAGCACACAUUGUAGUUAAAAUAGGUACCACUUUGACCAAUUGUUCCUAAUUUGUUUAACUUAAUUUCACAGCAGAUUUUUAAUCCAUGUUUAUCCGAUCUUAAGUAAUUUUCCAAACAAAUUAUAUUUUGGCUGGAAUCGCUCCAAUCGAUUUAGUUGAUUAGAACCCCGAGAGCCGGUUUUCUCCCACCAAACCAGUUUAUGCAACCCCAAACUUUAGCUGGGAUUUCGAGAGUGACCACCACCACCGCCCAUAUUGAUCAUGCGAAAGAAUGUUUUGUUCAGCUCGCGUCCGAAGAUACAGAUUUCUUCUAUCCACUCCUCUCAAAAUACCCAUGCAACUUAGCACCAGGCUGCUAAUUACAUAUUCGUUGCCUGAAAAAUUAACUUUCCAGCGGCGAACAUUGUAGCAUGGCAGUGGCGACAACGAGACUGCUGCCAGUUUUAUAAAGUCCCCCCUCAAAAAAACUGUGUGUUUUUUAUCUACCUAUCUAACUAUCUAACAAUAUGUUAUGAACUGAGCCUGGGCCCAGAAGCCGCCCAUUUCAAUGACGAGCGUUGCGCUGCGGCAGCCGAAAAGCUGUCAAAUUGUCGAAAAAAUUAUUGUUAUCGUGCUGCGCGUUAUUGAGUGGCCGUGUUCACACGCAGCUCCAGCUCAAGAUACAGAUACGAAGACAGAUACAGAUACAGAUACAGCUACAAAGAUACAUUUGUAUCUACACAUGUCCGUACAAACAAUUCAAUUAAUUGUUGUAGAGCGGAAUAUGUCACAUCGGAGGGAUAUGGAUGGCUAGCUUUGGACUGGGCAUAUAGUUCUUUUUUGAGGGGCUGUAAGCCCAAACUCUUCGGUAGUUUAUUGAUUUACAAGCUGGGGCCCCCGUAUCACAGAUAGAUGCAGGUUUAUGGGUGGCGUCCACUUGGGGUUCCAGUAGUACAACCAUAACCACAGCUAUCACUACAGCUGGAACUGGAACUGGAACCGACUUAUCACAGUGGCGUUGUGAUUUUUUGAGUGUCGAAACGCCAAAGCAAAUAUGAUUGGAGUUUUAUUUACUCUGGCCCGUCCGAUUGGGUCUUAAUUACUUCCGAAAACAAUGACAACCGAUGACCAGUGGCGAUACGAGCCCGUCGCCGAGCAUUAAUCAAUUUACAACGAGAUUUAAGCAAUGGCAUCGGUAAAUAAUAAAAUAAAUACAAUUUGAAUACCGGUUUGCCAUUUUCUGGCUAUCAUUCAUAAACUUUUGUGCGGCCUGACAUGAAAAUUAGCUCUUCAGCCAAGGCAGACAGCGCAGCGAUCUCCGAGAUCUCGUAGAUCGGAGAUCGCAGAUCGGAGUCGUCCAAAGCUGGAACUCCGAUCGCUGAAGAGCUCCAGACUCCGGAGUUCGAGUUGGCGAUGGAGAUGGAGACCUGAAGAGCAUGGCUGUUGAUCACGGUGAUGACUGCGUAAAAACGAAAAGUAAAAACACCAAACUGGCACACAGCUUCGGAUGCUUGAGAUGUGUUGCCCGUUUGUGUUAAUCCCAUCAAGACCCAGCACAUUAUGAAGUAGCAACACCAGCAACAAUAGCACCAGCACCACCACCACCACCAACAUGGAAACAGCACAAACUGGAGCUGCACUGAAAGAAAUGUAGUUCAUUAGAACCACUUAAUACUAAUACUCAAUGUAUAUAUAUACAGUAUUUUACCCAUUAACUUACAGCCAAGUAAGACUCUCAUAUUUUAAAGAUAAGCUGCAUAUGUAUUAUGAAAAUAUUACUAAGAAAUAUAUAAAAUAAACGAAUUUUAAGAAGUAAAAUGCCUUUUAAAAAUAGUUUAAAUUCAAGGUCAUAAAUACAUCCCAUAUGUAGACCACAAUUCUUUUCUGUGUGGAACGCAAAGCUUGGAGUUGGAGUUGGAGCUGCAUGUGGUGAGUGCUCAUGUGCUCCACUGGAGGCUCCAUCUCUACAUCAACGGCACAAGUGACAUAAGUGGCGCUUACCCGAUGAUGCGUGCGCAUCCAACGAGCAGCCAAAAGUCAGUCCGGAGCUCCGCAGCUUGUCUUCAUCGUUUUGUAAGAGUCAUCUCAUCAUUUUGCUCGUCGCCAUCUGGUUGCGACUUGGCCCGACUGAUAAGAACGUGUUAGGUGUACCACGGAGUUGUUAAAUGCAGCACCGCUGCGUCGUGUGUGGUCCAUCGAUGGCGCUUGAUAAGAGAAUUUUGGAUGCAUCCGAUCCAUGGGUCGUACCGACUUACCACGGCCUGCGAGCGACGGCUCUCCCGGUUUUUAGUUUUGGUUUUGGCCCGGUCUACCCAUGACGUGACGGGCGGCUGACGUGCCAAGUGCCAUCGAAAAUGGCAAGUCAUUGGCAUUUCAACUGGACAUGCGGCACCCUUGUUAGCCCGAGCUGUCUCUGCCUCUUUGGUUCCAACUCUCUGACUGGGACUCUGCAGGGCAUGCAUAUGCUCAUAUCUGGCAGUGACUGAACAUCCUUCGACGCAUAACGGGCAGCACAGGAUAAAAAUCCAACCCCCUCCCCUCCACCCGAUGACGCAGCAAUCGGCGAAAGCGUUAAUUUAAUAAUGGCCAAAUUUGUGACUAAAAGUCGGUUACUAUAAUUUGGGAAAUGUGUGGCACCUUUUCGGCACGGGAGGUGUGUUUGUUUUCCAAGUCGCUGCUGCCCAUAAUUGUUACACUCGGCUGCACCAAAGUCAAAGCUACAAAGUCAAUGACAUCCUGAGCAAACAGCCCAGAAGUGCUCGGCAAAACUGAAAGUCUGAAUCAAUCGAUAAGUGAAAGUAGGGAAAACUCACGGGAAACCAUAAGAAACUAAACCUAAAAUCUAUGAAUAUAAAUAGUUGAAUACAAAUAUGGAUAUGAAAUGCACUUAUAAAGAUGUCUAAAAAUUAAAAAUAGAGAAGCAUAGAACGCCAAUUUCCCUUUCACUAAAAAUCAAGUGGCACUAAAACACAAUGCCUUUUAUGGCCGGCCACAAUAAUUUGCUGGACAAACAAAGAUCCGCCACUUCAUAAAUAGUUUGCACUUGACAGCUACUGCAGCAGAAGCCGUUGAUUUGAUUCCUGCCCCGAUCCCCAAGUCCCCAAACCCCGCUCCCCAAUAUUCCAGAACUGAAGUUGUGGUGUGAAGUUCUUGUGAUUCACUCGGUCGGUGCGAAAUCAAAGAGAUCUCCGCCAGGCGGCGGCCAAAAGCAUCAUAAAAAGGUGGUACCUUGUGUCCACCAGCAGAGUUCAUUGAUUUUCUGUUUGGGGGGCAACUCAAUCAAAAAUCCAAGACGAAGCUGAAGAAGAAAACAGGAAUCUGGAAGCAUAAACCCAAACGAAGAACUUGGGAAAACGCGCACGGCGGUGGCACUCUAUUAGCACCUCUAAAGCACAAUUUACAACAAACAUUUACAACUGUCAAUUGGCAACAAAGCCGGCCAGCGAAGGGUGCAUAUGGUGGCCAAAGAGGAGAUCGGCCAGAAAUUAAGGAUACAGGUCACCCGACGCGGCACAAAGGCACCGCCGGUUUUAGGAUCACGAUGAGAUGGUUUUUCGGGAACUGGCCGCUGACGAAUUGCCGGCAAUUAGUUAGCAUUAAACAACAACUAAUGGCUGCCAUUGAUGAGGACGUGCAUCGAGAACCUUUCAAUAACACACAUAUCAGUGUGAAUGCACACAGGGCACACAAUCGUAUCUGUCACAGGGCAUACAUACUUAUAGUACGGUUUAAAAAACGAAAUUAAUAAAAAUUUCACUUGAAUUGACAAAGUGCCCGAACGCCGUGACGUUCAACUGACGACAAGUGCCACUUGACAAGCUGCCGAACUUGAAAUUUUUUUCAUUUCAAUAUUUCAUUGUUACCCCCGGCAAAUACACGGCAUAUACCCAACAUAUAGAAGUCUGACUCCUGGUCUGGCUUGAUUCGCUCGAUGUGUUACCUGUCCGCCAGCCUCGUCCCACAGCUGGCGAUUAAUCUUGACAUUGAGUUGCUGUUGCUGCCGCAGAGACAGAUGCAAAGACAAUGGCCCACUGGCAUAUAUAAAUGCGAUUUCUCGACCAUACACACUGUUGACAAUAAAUAAUUUAGCCAUCUAUAAUGGCCCGCUGAUGAGUGCUGUGCUGAUGCCUGCGAGGAGGAGGAGACGCUCCCACACUUUUCCCACCGGCGAUUGCAUGCGAGAUUGCGAUCAUAAUCAUGGCAGUUCACGUGCAGAGCACGCGGCCGCUGGAGGAAGGACAAGUGGCAGGACUCGAAAUCCAGGACAUGUAAUGGGAUGGAUGUGCGAGCAAAUAGAUUCCCAGGCCGUUUCAACUGGUGCUUCACGACAAGUGCGGGUCAUCAUAAUCAU